ensembl:lncRNA
AUUGUGGAUUGCAGCACGUGUCGCACUGUGCUUUCCUCUCAUCUGCCGGGUUCCUCUCAUUUGCCGUGCUGGAUGUUAGGUCGUAUCCACAGUACAAAGCAUGGCCCACAACUCUGCUGGGAGGGAAUGACUUUUGGGAGUGAAUUUUGCCUUUUAGCUGGAUGCCUUGUCAAAGGAAUCACCGUCUCCUGAGAGACUCCUCCUGAGAGUGUGGUACCCACUGGGGUGUCCGUUAAGGUAUGAGGAUUGCUCAAGAAUGCCUGCACAAGUCCUGCUUCACUGCAGCUGGCCCGUUUUGCUCAGAUAUGCUGAUGGAGAAGGUGCUGCUCUCAGUGCAGGGUUGCUGCAAGCCACACAGGAGGCAGACUCUUGCAAAGCAGCAAUGUGUAGUCCAUCCCCUUCUCACAUUUCUGCGUACUCAGACCAGAGAGGCAGGCGUUUUAUAAGGGGGGUUAAAUCCUAUUUCCACUGAAUCCCACAACCACAAUGCUGUUUCAGGGGGGGCAUUUUUUUCCUGCUUCUUCCUGGCCUCUGGUACCUCUGGGGCCAUAACAAUACCAG